rnacentral:misc_RNA from 1 species
UGCCCCUCACUUGCCAAUACGUCUAGAUCAGCCAGGGCGUCGGCAUGUGUAGCGUAUUAUGUUGGGCUCUCUCGAGAUAAGGAUACGAUGUCCCUUUAUCGGUUGGUUUCCUGUGUGUGCGGCCCGUUCGUUUUUUUUGUUACUUUCGCAUCGUUCGGUGCAUUCUGGGGGCUGUGUUGGCUUUUGGUGGCUUGCUUGGCCUUUUGGCUUUGCUUGUUGCUACUUGUCGGGCUGCUUUCGGGAAUGUCGACCGUGGAGGUGCAUGAGUGGUGUUUGGUUUGUUACGUGUGGAUGGCUGUUUGCUUGUGCAACAACGUUCACGCUGCAUACCUCUUCAGUUUUGCGGCAAGGCUUGGUUUGGCUUGUGCAUAUUGUGGGUUUCCUGUGUUGCAUACCUAGUUGAUGGAAAAGUGUGGGUUUUACGAUUUUCAUUUUCGUCUUGCGUCGUUCUUUUGGCGUGGGAUGAACAAUGAAGCGAUCUUUGUGAUCCAUCGUGCUGUUGCGUUUGCAACAAUGAUGUGGCCUAUGAAGCAUCGUUUGGUCUCUUGUAUACGGAAGCUCAUUUGGGCUUGGGUCUUUAUAAGAUCUUCGUUACGCCCUUGUUAAGCGUUUUCGCUUCUCCUAAACGAUUG